UCAAAUUCACAAGGGAUGGGCUUUUUAGAUUCUGUCAUCAAAGCCAGGUUCAUUCCAGUUUGGUGUAAUUUGACACGUCAUAAGGCACAAAUUAUGAUAAAUGAAUUAUUUACCAAAGCUGAACCUACUCCAGUUGCAUUGAGUCACACAAAUUUUCCCCAAAUGUCUCCGCUCUCGAGUGACUGACGAGCGUAUGUUGGAAAUACUGCAUCAUUAUCUACCAAAGCCAUUUGAAUUUCAGCAGUGGCCAUAAUGGCCCUUCUGAUAACCACGUUUUGUACUCUUAAAGGUCGUUCUGGGUAUCCGAGAACACGUCCGCUUACAGAGCUUGCGUUUGACCUGACACGUCGGAGUAGCUACGGUAGCUCUUAGAAACAUUGUGGGAGACCAGACAGAGUCGGGCGUAAAGUCUAGAAUGAGAAGUAUGAUCGAUGUUAAAUAUUGAGGUAUUUUGAAACGGAAGAUUUACUUCAGUAACUAUCAGCUUGUAUUUGGGUUUUAAAUUACAGCAAGUCAGUGCAGGCCUCUGCUCUUGCUCCAAAUUAGGCAACACUGUCAAAAUAUUUUAUCAAAGAAACUUUACAAAAGGAGAAGAACUGCUUUAUGAAUAUGUAUCGGUAGUGCACAGUGAACAGAGGGAGAUGUUUUAAGUCUCGUUGCUUCUUUUCUUUCUGCGCAGCUCGGCUUACAAAAAAAAAGCUCUUUCAUGGUUAUGUGAACCCAUCUUUACAGUGAUAAAUGUGCCACAACAGCAAGCCUGUGGACGACAGAGUUGUACAGAGUGAUGACGAGACAGAGAAUAAAUAUAGGUAACAGGGGUAGCGGCGCAACAUGCACCGUGGCUUCUCUUCAUCUGCCUGCGAUUCAGCAGCUUAAGUCCUCGGAUAUGAGUGUUGGUGAACUGGGUGUUAACAGACUACUCCAUGACGGAGGGGGGAGGGAGUCAGCAGAAAGUCUGAAUGACUGUGAGCAAAUGCACCCACAUCUGUUUUAUACAUGCAUAUGUGAUGCCUGCACCUGCCACACCAAACCGUUUGGUGUGCAAAAACUACGAGCAAUUAAUUUUUGCACACGCAGCAAAUAGGCUGGUGAUGAAUAUACGAUAGUGGCAUGACUCAACAGGUGAAAUAGGCACGCCCAUAACCCUAGCAUAGGCCUCAUCUUACCGGCGGUGGCACAGACCCAGAUCUUUCUCUAACAGAGGUUGGCAUUAUAGGGCGUGGGCCGACAGCGCUCCAACGCCAGAAGAACCACUCAAAUCCAGAGCAAACACUGCAGACAAAAGGGAGACAGGGAGAAAAAACUGGAGCAGGCCUUCUCUUUGUGGAUGCCUGCAGCACUGCCAUAGCCAGAGCUUGUGACACUGGCUAUGGUUGGACUACACAGAGAUUAAUAUAAUCUAUCACAUAUCUCUCACGGUCAUUUCUUACUUGAAAGAGUAAAGCAGACCUAUUAUGGUCUUUUCCAGCUUUACAUUUUAUAUUCUUGCACUUCACUGAAGUACAGUACAGGGACAGUGUACACAUAGUUUCUGAUUGCAUAAAAUUAAUGUCGUCUAUGCUAAGCAUUUUCCUCUAAUAAACAUAAAAAUGUUCUUUUCUUAGAGGAAUUGUUCAGGAUUUGUUAGAAAACCACCUAAAAGGGGACCUUUACUCAUUUCUAAGUACAUUUUUCUAUGUGGGAGUCUACUAGAGUAGCUUUGCAAGAUUCACAGUUCAAAAUAAUCCUUAUUUAUGUUUUACUGGGCCUCUGUGCAGCCUCUCCGUCACUCUGACUGAAAUAAGCCAUUUUAGUGUACUUCCCCCUGUUCUUUAAGCCAGAUGUUCCGAAACUUUUUCUGGCACGCCCCAUUUCAGAAGGCAAAAAAAUGUUCACACCCCACACUCAAUCAUUAACAGUGCAAAAAAGGAUUCAAGCUGACUUUUACUUAAAGGUCAGGAGAUUAACAUAAGCAAACCCUUUAUUUUCUUUAAAAUAACCCUUAUUUUAACCCAUAUUUUUCACCUGGUUGUCCCACCUGCAGUGAUUCUACACCCCACCAUUUGAGAACCACUGGUUUAAGCCAGCUUUCUUCUGAUUGGCUUCUGCUCGCAAACAAAAAGUCUGAACAGCAGGUGAGUUUUUAGCUGCCUUUUAAAAGAUACCACAAUGUUCACAGAUUUCAGGCUCAGAGGGAGAGAUUUCCACAGUCUGGGAGCCACUGUCGGCAAAACCUUUGUUGCCUUUAGUUCUCAGUCUUGUAUGCUGCAUUGUUAUCAGGCCCUUUUCACAUGACCUCAGGGACCUGCUGGGGAUGUAUGGGUAUAAAAGUCCACUGAUGUACACCAGUCCUUGUCCUUGUCAACUUAAGUGAUUAAAAACAAGAGCAAGCCAGAGAUUUAACGUGAGCACCAAAGUGAAAGGGGAGUCAAAAGUUACUCAAACAUUCCUGAUAGAAAACUUGGCAAAAGUGGCAAGGCGACGUUUCCAUAACCUUAGGCACAAAUCUCUUAGAGGCACAAACAGGGACUUCUGUUUUCUCUUCAUUAAGUUGGCAAAAAUUGUCAGCUUAACAACUUUUAAUAGAAUCUAUUCGCAUAAGCGUGAUGUGCAACAGAAAUAUCUCGGGGCUUAAAAUAGAUAUAUAACUGAAUGUCAUCUGCAUAGCCAUGGUAAGAAAUGUCCUUUAAAGUGCUCAAAAUGUGUUGAAGAACGAACAGAUAUAAGAGAAACAGUAAGGGCCCUAAAAGAGAACGCCGAUAGAGACCGACCAGUAUCUCAGCCUAUCACAAAUAACGUGAUUGUCAGCAGUGGCGAUGGCAGAGGCCAGAACAACAUCAGCAAAACAGAACAUUUCCUUGAAUCACUUUGGAUCGAGAGGUUGUUUGAGACUCUAGGAAGAGCUGUUUUGAUGGAAUGAGGUCUAUGAAAGCCAGACUGAAAUCUAUCAAGAAGGUGUUUUUUUUUUGUCCAAACCACUUAGCUAUGACAUUCUGCAAAAUUUUAGCAAUAAAAGGUAAUUUUAAGAUUAGUCUGUAACUACUGAGAAGAGAGGCGACAAGCUGUUUUUCUGUUUUUAAUGGGUGGAUGAUAGCGCUCUGGUCUUGAUUAAAGAAAGCAAACUUUGACUGAUAAGACUGAAAGACAGUUUUCAACAGAGAUACAUGUAAAAUUUUGUGAUAGCAGGAGGAUGUUUUUAUUGAAUCAACUAAUUUGACCAGUUCACAAAAAGAAACGUAAAAAGGGCUGGGGUAGGAACAGGCAGCGAAGAUGCUGAAGAAAAAAUAUUAUUUCUCACACUACUCAUUUUUCUACAAAGAAAGUAAGAACAUAUUCACGAUGUUCACUGGGAAAAAUUGGGACAACGGGUCAAACACAAGUAACAAUUUCACUAAUUGUGUCAGAUAACACCCUAACACCCGCCUCUGCUCUUUGAAACCAGGUUUUAAGACAGCACAAAAGUUUUGGUACCGGACCCUUUUUGGUUGACUUGUGAUGUUUGAGUGGGCUUCAGAGGUCAGCAAGCUGUGUAGGGGGAAGCAAAACGGGGAACACACUAAUUUUGAACCUGUCAUCUGCUGCCUGACAACAGUUUCUCUUUUUAAAAAUGCAUCUGCUUUCAUGACCAGUGAUUGGCACAAUGAACAGGAACUCUUGGCCUGCAAUCCGCCGGGUAUACCGGAGGCCCCGAAACAUCAGCUGUCCACUAAUCCAGUUUAAAUCAUUUGAAUACUGUUAACUCUGAGACCCACACGAAAUAUCCCUCUGUGAAUGUACAUGUAAAAAGUAUUACAGUCACACAUCAAAUUGGCAGCUACUUUUAAUGCAUAGCAUGGAAAUGUUUCAUGGUUAUGCUGGUACUACAGUGACCUCCUGUUGGCACCAAUGAUUGCUUUUUAUUAGAUGGAGCCACAUAUGUUUCCCAGUGACUGAUUUACACAUUAUUACUGUCUCUACUAGCUAAGACAUUCCUUACGUUUUAAGUGGUGGAAGUAAAUCACUGGCUCGAUUUAUGAAUAGCUUCUAUGACUCAGUUCUCAGUGACUGAGUGAUGUGAAAGAUCCACUUAUGAAUUCCAGCAUCGAUAAAUAAACUCUUGAAGAAAUACAUUUCAAUUGCCACUUUUUGAAGAGAUCUGGAAACGGCAUGCUGCAGCGGUAAAUGAAACAAACAAACAAAAAAAAAAAACCAAGGCUUUGCUGCACACAGCAGUCAGAUCAUGCUGUAGGAAGACAGAAAGGUCAAAAUAAACGCUGCACAUGCCUCCCAGGCUUUAGCGAUAAGAGAAAUAAGAGAAGGAGGUGUGUCUUUUGUACACAUAGCCAUAUGAGAUCUUUAGACUCGCUGCGUUAUAACUGUAAACACAAAUGUGGCACACAAAUGCACCCGGCCGUGUUAUUCCCUUCUGUUAGUCUUCUAUAGGGUAUGCUUAACUGCUUGCAGGUACUGAGCCAUGACUUCAAUCAGCAGCCGUGCUUCAUCGUCAGCUGUUUAUCUUUGUCGUUAUGUUUGAAUAUGCAAGUGCAGAUACAGUGCCGAUGUUUGUGCUGUAGUAUGCAGAGGAAUGCAGUGCUCGUAGCUGAGAGGUGCUUUGGUGCCUGAGCUGAGUUCAAGUUCAGCUUCCUUUCCUUUUCUCUUGUCUUCUCUCUGUUUUACCCACCACAGUCCGGGGGCACAUCAGGUUCCAGUUGUUUUCUGGCUAUUCGGGGUCAGCGAUGCACGUUGGCAGACCUCAUUGGCACUUUCUCGUUGCAGUGCAAAAAUCUGUUGGAGACUGAACUCGGCUCAGCGUUUGUGUGCCCCGGUGUUGAGUAACAAUGAGCUCCGCAGGGCGAUUGGCAGAUGUCUGUUUGGUGCUGCAGAUACAGUCAUGCCAUUGUGUGGAGUCAGCAAGUAAAAUGUGUGUGUUCGUGUGCGUAUGUGGAUAAGGGGUGAAGAAAAGCGGCUGUUUGUUUUGGCAGGAAGAUCAUUUGCCAAAGAAGUGGCUCCGCAGCCAAUUCUCACCAAACAAACCCGCAGCAGUGAGUGUUUUAUCAGUCCAAGCACUUCAGCAGGCGAAAUGAGAAGGUGGCCAUUUUACUCCUCGCACUCCUUGCUGCUCUUCACAGCUAAGAGGGUUAAUGGUGAGCUGCCGCUCGGCCACUUUUAGCGCGGCGUUCCGUUAAAUUCAAAAGCUUGCGUUCCCUAAAACUUUCCUGUAACAUUUGUUGUUAACGAGAAAAUGAAAUGAACAGUUCCAGCUAAUCAGCAGCAUGACAAAGCCUUAUGGUUUCUCUGAUCUUUUCUCCUACUUGCUGUGACUCACUUGAAGCCCCAUUGUCUGCUCCGAGCCAAGAUCCUCCAGUCCAGAGGGCGUCGGUGCCAAGCCUGGCUCUGAGGAUAUUACAAAAAGGGAAAACCCAUCUUCCCCCAAAACCUUCUUCCAUUACAGAAAAGAGGUUUUCCGCUUCUAUCGAAACUGUCAGUGGAAGUUUUUCAAGCCACUUGGAAAACAUCAAUUGCUGCUUUUUCAGUCUUUAUGUUGGCAAAAUCAUCAGUCACAGGAGCAGCAUGAUCCUUUCAUAGUAGUUUUUCUGAAGAAAAGGCAGAUUGUGCAUGUGUUUUUAUGUCCUUUAUGCUCUCUUUUGUUGUAUGCUUGUGUUGUUGAGCUGCACAGCUGACAGGUCUGUGAAAUAUCAGCACCUGCAUUGUUUUUCCUCACAGUAACCUUUGCAACUGAUGUGGACAUGAAUAUGCCGCCUGUGUGUGGAGCACAUCUUUUUAGUUUUAAACGACGAGCUGUUUCAUGUUGGCGCAGGAGUAAUAGGAGCCACGGCGUGACAGCCAGGCCUGAGGCGACCCAGAAAUGUGCCUUCUUGGAACUUCCUUCUCAUUCCUUGGGCAUAAGAACAGCGGUGCAGUGCAGGAUUGACUCCAAAACCAACAGUUUUGGAAAUAUCUGUUACAUUUGCAUCCCAAAUAUUCAGAAGAGCUUGCAUGAUGUUCUUAUUUGGGUUGACAGGGUUUCAUUUUUCAUCCUUCAUGCCUCUUGUGUUUUCUUGUCGUACUUGGCUGUUUUUGUGUUGACUUAUCUCGUUGACACACAGGAUGGGUAAUUUUGGGCAGCGUAGAUGUCUGACUGCAAACAACAUGUACAACUUACAGUACGCGCAGGAACGGCGUAAACAUGGUUUCUGAUCGAGGCAAAUUCCUGUGGUCAUGUCGCCACUUUUAAUGUUGACUUUUUUCUCCAAUACACCUUCUUCUUCUUCUUUCAUCGCUAUGUGGAAAAAACACUUAAAGAGAACCUAUUAUGCUCAUUUCCAACACUUAUUUUUAUUCUUGGACUCUACUAGAGUACCCCUGCAUGAUUCAGAGUUCAAAAUAAUCCCUUGUUUUAAUACUGGGGCUUGGUUUAGGCUCUCAGUUCAACUAGUGGAAUAAGCUGUUUUAGCUCCCUUUACGUUAACUUUCUGCUGAUUGGUAGCCCCUCACAAGCAAAUGAUUUGGACGGCGGAUGGGUGGGGCUUCGGUGUUCACAGCCAGAGCUGUGUUUUUCAUAUGACCAGGACAUCCAAAUUUAUUCACAUUAUAAAGAGCGAUGACUAGAAAGUAACCUGCCUGAAACUGAGUGUUUGGAGCAGUCUGAAGCCUGAGCUUGUGGCUCAUUGGCUCAUCACUCUAACAUUAUAUAAUAUUAAAGAAAAGAAGAGUAUCACGCACCUCUUUAAUUGCUAUCUUAACAUAAAUUUAAUGUUGUCUGCAAACUUCUUUGACAGAAAAGUCUAAUAUGUUCGAGUAAAUGAAACGAUAGACGGUUAAACCAGAACUUUCCUUUUACACUGACUCACAUCUCCUUGUGAGGGACCAAAAAUCUGUGGGCAUCCUCUUUGUGGGAUCAUCCUCAAUGUAAAAAUAGGAAAGAAGCUAUGCUGUCUCUGUUAUAAGUUAAUCAAAAUUCCACCUAUAAGCACCUCAUAUAAGUGAUAAAAGACUGGUUUGUUAGUUUCAAAGGGCUAAUGUGUGAUUUCUUGGCAACGUCAAGUCUUCUUAUGAUCGUGCAGUUUCUAGCAAGGUAUGAGUCCGACACAAAAUACCUUUGUUUACCUAAUCCUUUCUGUACAGCUGUAAUUGAUGGAGAUAAAACGAGCUAAUUACUGAGCUGACAGGCCGAGUCAUAUUAGCCACGUUCGCGUUUCCAAUCUUUAUGCAAAGAGACUUUAACCAUUAGGGUGUGUGCCGGCAGGAUCUGAAAACCACUCAAAUCUAGAGCAAACACUGCAAACAAAAGUGUCGAGGCGAUCAAAAGCGGAGCAGGCAUUUCUUGUGCGCCCCUCUUUAAAAGAAAAAAAUAAAUAGAGAGACAGAACCUUCUUGACCUGCUUUCAGCCAAUCAGCCCUUGACAACAGGCUCAACCUGAGCAAACAGUGAGUAAGUAAUCAGCGUUCACAUAACCCUGAUAGUAACUAUCUCCUCAGAGUUAUACAUCAGCUGGUAUUGAUUAAUGUGAUGAUGUCGUUGCUGUCCAGUACCGUGGUGUACAGCUGACUGCACUGGUGUUUUCCAGCUUUUUAAACUUUGCUUGUAACUUAUGUGCAUAUGUGCUUAAUUAGCAGUUUUCCUCCUCAGUUAUUAAUUAUAUCUAUAACAUGUAAGAAAACUGCAAUUUCCCAGCUGAAUAUAUAUUUGAGCACCUAGUCGGUUUACUAUCAAGUAAUACUGCAAAAAAAAAGAAGAAAAAUCAUCAAAUUCUGGCAUUUUACAAGUGUGCACUGGCAGUAUUUUCACAUUUUUGCUUUCAAAAUGAUUGCAGAGAUAAUUGCAUUAACACAGACAAGUCUGAUUAAUUUUCCGUCGAUCUACUAACCGAUCAAUCACCUAAUCAUUGCAUCCCUAAACUGAAUUAAAACAGGUUGCGUCACAGCUCCUGGCUCCAGCUGCGCGCUUACCCUACAGACACAGGAAUGGUAUCAAUCUUCUCAUCUAACUCUUGGCCAGAAAGAAAGUACGCGUGCUUCUCAAAAAUGCCGAGCUAUUUCUUUGAAAGCUCAGGGUGCUCAAAACAAACAAGUUGAUUCAAACACGCGUGCACCAAUGCAUAUAAUGAAUAUAAAUGGAGGACUUGAGAGAUACAGUAUAUGCUCAUCGCCAACAAUUCUCAGUUUCCUUUUCCCACCACCUACAUUUGGAAAGGUGUGUACGCCUGUAUGGCUCCAUUAAAAGGUAUCGGUUUUAAUCAUACUUAAAAGUGAUUACGUGGAGCUACAGCACAGUGAGCCUGUUCUUAUUUGGAAAUAUUGACACAACAAUGAAUCACACACUCAUAUCCUCUCAGUUUUCUCACGUCUGCUGACAUUUCAAACUGUGCGAAUAAUUGCCAAAUUGUCUCGGGCUGUAUUAAGCCAGGGGAGGAUACAAAUGCCUUUAAGCAACAUCAGCUGAGGAGAUGUAGAGGCCGGAAUAAAUGCAACACUGCUUAUCCUGCCAACAAAGCUUUAGAAACAGUUACACUUGUUUCAUAAAUCAACUUGUUAAAAAGCACAUGCACAUAACAGAAUAAGCACUCCCAUUUUCCUGAAGGCUGUACGGGAGGAUGGUGGUGGAAGGGGGGUGGGUCAGGAGGUGAUGGAGUUUGUAGGAUAAACUUGGCUAAACUUUGUCAGUGCACGAAAUUCCCCUCAUCAGACUCAAGCCUGCCAUCCUCCCCUCUCUACCCAUCCAUAUCCAACAGUGCGCAAAGCUAACAAAGCCAGUAUUUAAAAAGCUAUUAAAGAACUACACAACUUCUUUCAUAAUUUAAAAUGUCAAAAGCUUGAAUAAGCAUCCCGUUUAUACAAUGAGCAAUCCCUCCAGGAAUAAUUCUCACAAUUUCAGCCACUCUUCACAUCAUUUGUGCGAGUUUGCAGUUUUGUCUGCAGGGUCCUUGCAGAUUUUAUCAGCUACUGCAUCUCAAAUACAAAUAAUCCAAUUCAGAAUCACCGCUAUAAGCUGAGCUCAAACUAAAACGGAAGGUAAAUUCAUGCCUAAGGGUCUUGCUGUCUGUUGGAUUUUGGAAAUCUAAGUCAUGCAUCAAUUUCAGCAAACGCUAACAUUUAAAUCUUUAGAUUAUUUGUAACUUCUAAAUUAAACGGGGACCUAUUUAGGAGACUUCCUCGCUUUCUAUCAGAUAUAUGCACUCACAAGACACUUCAUUAGUUAUACUUUGCUACUAGUGGGUUGGAGCCCGUUUUGCCUUCAGAACUGCUUUAAUUCUUCACGCUUCAGAUUCAACAAGCUGCUGGAAACAUUCCUCAGAGAUUUUGGUUCAUAUUGACUUGAUAGAAUCACACACUUGCUGCAGAUUUGUUGACUGUACAUCCGAGAGGUGCACUAUUGGAUUGAGAUCUGGUGAUUGUGGAGGCAAUUUGAGGAUAGGGAACUCAUUUAAAAAAAUAGCCUGAGAUGAUUUGAGCUUUGUGAUAUGGUGUGCUAUCCUGCUGGAAGCAGCCAGAAGAAGAUGGGUACACUAUGGUCAGAAACAGUACUCAGGUAGACUGUGGUGUUUAAAAAAUGCUCAGCUGGUACUUGAGGGGCCCAAAAUAUGAAAAUAUCUGCCACACUGAUACACCACCACCACCAGGCUGAAGUGUUGAUACGAGGCAGGAUGAAUCCACGCUUUCAUGUUGUUUGCACCAAAUGCUGACCUUACCUUCCAAAUAAAGACUCAUCAGACCAGGCAACAUUUUUCCAAUUUUCCGUUGUCCAAUUGUGGUGAGCCUGUGCAAACUGUAACCCAAGUUUCCUGUUCUAACCUGACAGCUAAGCAGUGGAAAAGUUAGCAUGACUCCUAUUUGACCAACAGUUUUUCUAAAACAGGUCAUUGUGAGUUGCACUCCAUUCAUGUUUUGGAAUAAAUAAAGCAUAAUGUUAUUAAUGAAACAGAUUACACCGUAUUUUGCUAGCACAGUGAUCAGGGACUAUGACUUUCCAUCGCCACAACUGACAGAACCAACAUCAUCCUUCUGUUGGCUCACUUGUGUGUGUGCGCUCCAAAAUGUUGUGUGUUACAUUCAUAAAACUACGAGAGAGAAUGCAAAAAGAAACAAAACAAAAAAAAACAAAAACUGGGCAUACUGCAGUCUUUUUGACAGGAUGCUGUCUGACGUCCAAAAUAUUGUGACGUCUGCCUGGGUGGCCAUUAUUCAGCUGACAUAAUGUUGUCUGAUUGUCUCAGAAACACCAGCUGAAAUGUUUUAAUAGUAUUUAUACUCUUCCCCCUGCUGUAGCUUUUGUUAAAUCACUGUAAAAUAACAAGAAAUAAAAGGUCAGACUUUGCACAACUUUCAAGUGAUCUUGGCAGGAUCCUUGUGGGACUAAAUAUGGUAUGUGGGAAAAUCACAGUUUUAAAAUGUGAUAAAGCUUAAAUCUUCAUUGUGUUUUCAGUUUCCUUCUGAGGUUCUCUUGUCAGUCUUGUCAUAUAGUCAGAUUAGUAAUGAAGCUUUGGGCACAUUCUUUGUUGGCAAAAUAGCAGCACUUAAAGAGCAGACCACAUUUCCAGUGUUGAUGCCGUUUCACAGAGUUAUGAUCUCAGAUCACACACAUGAGAAUGUAUAUUAGUCUUUUGCUCAGGGACAUUUUCAUACUAAGCCACACACAGACUCCGGUAGUGUCUUCAGAAAUGCUGAUAUAGUUAAUUUUGACAGGUAAUGCACAAUGAUCCCUGAAAAAUCCUAACUAAAACAGUCAUUCAUUAAGGUUUUGGAAUUGUGAUCCGGUUGUAUGGCAGUUUUUCCACCCAGUCUCAUGCUGGAGGGAAUUAGGUAGGUAAACAUUAAAAUUUGGAAGUUGGCUCGAAAACUAGAAGCCAAGAAUUGUUUACUCUGUUACAUUAGGAGGACUCAUUUGGGAAGACUUUGCUAGGGAAACGCAACGCCCCUGCAGAUAUUUUACCUUUAUUGUCAUUUUGACAAACAUUUCAGUCUUAGUUUGGUGAAAACCAGUGGGACCUGCAUUAAAAACCUCUAGCUGGCCUUGACCAAAUUUUGUUCUUUUCUAAUGGCUCCCACAGCGUUGAAUUCGGGCUCAGACAGACAUGUUGUGUGUUAGGCAUCAAGAUAAUUAACUGGUCACAGUCGGGUUUUCCUGGAAAUUGACUGUAUUAGUGAGUCUCUUCUCUUAUUCUCGCCUCUUUCCUUUCAUUUUUUUCCCCCGCUUGGCAACUGUCACACAGAAGGCUUUGAAGUGGGUGUAAAUAAGAAGACAUGCAUGCUUAAUGAGCACGAGUAAAAAAGGCUUAAUACUUGUUUUAGCGAUGUAGCUCUGCUUACCGAACUGAACAUCGAGGCAGCGUGACUGCUUAAUUAAGCUGUCUGUUAACACAAAGAGGCCAACAGUGACAUUUGCUGUGGUGACGGUCACAUCAUAUCUGAUUAACUUCAAGUUGUCGUUUGAAAAAGUCCAAAACAUCUGCAACUAAACACUUAUUUUCACCUCCCGAUCUCACUUGUAAAACUAAAUAUCCUACUGUGACUUGCCAAGCAGAUGUAAUGAGCCGAGAUCAAAUACUGAAAGUCAUUCACAGACGCUGAUAUGUGAAAGGGCCAGAGAGCGAAAAGGAGAAAGGAAAAAACAAGAAGUGAGGAAUGGUCUUCUGCUUUCAGAUUUACAGCCGCGGGGUCACCAGUAGAGUCGGAGCUGGAGCAGAGUGGUGCAGAACUCUCCUCCUCCUCCUUCCCUGCCUCCCUCCCUCCUGGCCUCCUUAGCCUUCUAUGCUCACACCCAAUUUUUUUGGCUCUUUGUUACUGUAUAUAGGUCAUACUGUGAUCGUGUGUAUAUACAGGUGAAUUUAUUCUCCUUCCCAGCAAGCAUAUGGAAAGAGGUACUCAAAACAUUUCCUAGAAGUAACCGAACAGAAGAACAAUGCUGCAUUUGAAGCAAAGGUCAUGCCUUCAUGUGUUUUAGAGAAGAACUCAUUCUGAACAAAUCCUCACUGUAAAAAAUCAAAAUAAUGCAUUCAUUGUGUCAUGUAUAGAUUUUUAUUUUAGUGUUUACAUUAAAGUAAAACGUGUUUUAUGAGCUAGUUUUAUGUUUUUGUAUGCAAAACUCUUUAUUUUAACUUCUCGCUACACACCCACAGCACUAGGAAAAUUUCUAGAAUUUUAACGCAUCUGUGUGCAUGCAUGCAUGCGAGUGUCAACUCGGCUAAGCUCAGCUAUGCUGUCAUCAUUUAAAGAAUUUAUACAGUACAUUUAAGGAAUUAUCCCAAGCGGUGCAUGUCUUUUAUUUGCAGAGAAAGAGCGACGGUUAUAAAACAAUAUUACAUUUUUUCCAUGUCUUUGUUCUUGGCACAACAAACAGCAACGCUGCAGCGAGUCAAUUUUAUCAUCACAAAUAUGUGAUAAGAAUAAUAUGAGCAAUAGCACUUAUUUUUUAAAAAGAUUAAACAGGACAGUUUUCCAUCGCUUCUCACAGCCUCUGUAACAAAAUGUAAUGCUUGAGCGUGCGUGUGAAUAAAAGUGCGUUUGCCCCCACUAGCUUACCUGAGCUCCCCGUGAAAAGCGAACACAAUCUGAGCCUGAGCAGAAAGGCAGGAUGUUUUUGAUGAAGCAGUGGGCUUAAUUUAGGCCCAGGCAUUCUCAGUAUCUGUCACCUAACUCCCAGUGAUCUCAACACACAGUGCAGUUGUGUGCAUGUGUGUGUGUUGGUUUAUGUUUAUCCACAGAGGCAGGCUAUAAAUUCAAGAAAUGUACACCAACAUUCAGCCCCCCUAAAAACUGUAAUACCUCCCAAAUAUAAAGACAACGUCAUACCCAUUCCCCGUUUUAUUUUGCUAGUAAUAAUGGAGCAAAUAAAAACCGCAGCUUAACAACAGACACUACUAUGAUAGUGUCUCUCUGAUAGGAUUUUAUUAUGAAUUAUUAAUACUGGCUAUUAAAAAAUAAUCCCAUUAACUCUGCCAAAUGCCCCAAAAUCUUGAUUUCUUCUUCUAAAGAAGCUGGCUUGGUUAUAGCUCCUGCUUGGCCAUUAAGUAACCAAACAGGCGUAGGCAUUGCCAGCAAACCAGCAAAAGCAAAAAGCGAGUGCCAGCAACCUCUGCCAAAGACUUCAGCUUGCACCCAGUGUUCUUCUCUUACUGGUACACAGAAAAAUGAUCUGCCUACUUCUUUGAAUUGUACAUUUUUCUAUCCCUGUAUGGAUUUUUAAAAAAAUGAAAAAAUAUUUUAAGAAUGAAAACCUUUUGUUGCAAAGCAGAAAUAUUUAAGAGAAAUUAAAAGAUGAAUGUCUAUAUGUAGAUUCUUGCUUUUUGAGCACGUACGUUUGCUGAUAUGAGCAUGUGCAUUUGCUCCUUCUUGGCCAUUAAGUAACCAAGCAGGCAUAGGCAAAACUAAAAGCCGAGCUCCUACAAACUCUGCCAGUGACUUUGUUUUGCACAGAGUGUUCUUCUCUUUGCUGGUACAUAAAUAAAUUUUCUACCCUUUGAAUUUAAGACUUUUUCCAGUCUGCAUGGAAAAUGUUUUUAUUCAUAAUACUGACAAACCUCUGUUUUUAAGCAGCUGCAUAAAGUAAUUAUAUGGAUCUCCAUUUUCUAGCCCUCUCUGCAUUGUUGCUGGAUGAGCAUGUACAUUUUUGAAAAUCACGCAAGAGGACCUUGCGACGUCUGACCUCGAGCUUGGCGUCACUUUAAUGCUGCAUUAAACGAACGUGCUCCAACUCGUCAAACGACUGCAUGGAGAGCUAGGAGGAGAUCUCUGUGGUCGUCAUGCAUCCAUAACGAUUGGAAAGACAGGAAGACCACACAGCAGCAUGGUCAGAUCAGGUUGUCAGAAACCAUAUUUAAAAUCUGGGUCAGGGUCCAGGCCGUAACCUCGCUCUCACUAUGGCUCCGCUCUCCCUCCUCUGUACCCGAUUCCACCUUCGUCCCACGACUCUAUCUUUGUGUUUUCUCCCUCUUUUGGUUGAAUCACUUCACCCACUUUCCACAUCCACGUCUUUAUGCAUUUCAUUCCCUGACUCAACCUUAAUACUCGGCCCGAGCAAUCCAGGCAGGCAGGCAGCUUUGCCGUCUGCUUGUGCUGAGCUACAUGGCAUCUUAAGAUCAUAUUAAUUUCAUUGUGAAUUUAUGAGAAUGAACGAUGUAUUUAAAUACAAUAAUCCAAAAAUCUAAAUGUGUGAAUUGUUGAGAUAAUAGUGAAACUACUGCUCCACUCCCAUGAGAAAUUAUAGAAAAUUCAAGGUGGGUUUAAGGCACAGCCUUAUAAUCCAAAUGCAAGUUCAGGGGUAUGUAGAGCUAUUAUUGUUGUUAGAAAAUAAAUCUGUCCACUUGUUAAAUGAUGACGUCGUGGCCCUUGAUUAAUAGUUUUGCAUUCAAGCCUCUAUUUAAUUUGUAAAACUGAAUUUAUCUGAAGUCACUAUAUAUUAUAUAGUAUUGUUAUAAUACAAUAAGUUAGUGAGAAAACCCCAAUGAGAAAGCACUUGGAAAAAGUGUCAAGCAAAAACUCCUUUUUAACAGGAAGAGACAUUUGGCAGAACCACGCUGAGGGAGGGGCAGCCAUCUGCCUUGGCUGAUUGGUGGGUGAGGGGAAAGAAAGGGCAUAAGUGUAGAAAGAAGAGCAAUGAAAGACCACAGAGAGCAAACAGGACAGAUAAACUACAGAAGAGAGAAGAUAAAGGUUGGCAAAGGCAAGCAAGUCUCUUGUCUUUGCCAAUCAAGGAUUAAACAUGUAUUUAACAUGAGGUUAUUUAUAUACAUAUAUAUAUAAUAUAUAAUAUAUAUAUGAUGUUGCAUUUUUUUUCUAGAAAUACCAGGGCCAGAAGACAUCAUGUCAUUUUUAGAUGUCAGCUAGGGAACUGGCUUAGUACCUCUCCUCUGUCUUUCUUUCUUUUUAUGGGGACAUUUUUGAUUGUAACAUCUGAAAGAAAAACCACAAUGAUCCCUUUGUUGGAGAUGAAAGUGUUUCCAGUGUUUUUAACUCUUAAUGAUGUCUCUGUGUUGUUUGCUUUUAGGAAGUGAAGAAGCAUUUGAACCAGAAAACGGGUAAUUACAUCAGACUUGUUCUACUUUGCAAUAAAUAAAUAAAAGAAUUAAAAAAAACAUUUUUAACUGUUCUUUGCUGUUUUACCCACACAUGAGUUAUGUUCAGAAACCACUUUUUAGUACUUUGAAAAAGAUACUUGAGAACAGCCCCCAUAUUUUAAAGACAUACUCUGUAUUCUGAGAUAAGCCUCGUGACCUUUGAUAUGUGAUUGAUGUGUUUGGACGUGUUUUGUUUACCGUAGCACACAGAAAUUAUACUUUGCUGCCUAGCAGGCAUUUUCAUCUAAGAGUUACGUGAGUUUCUCUUACUUCAUAUUGCUACUGGGUCCACUUUCUGUUUAUCAGGGAACAUUUCCUCACAUAAAUCACCCACUCUUUAAAAAUAAAUCCCCCAAAACAUACCUUUUCUUCUAUUUUGACUGUAUGUGUAUUAAACAUAUGGGAUAUAAAUUUUAAAUAUAUACAUUUUUGACUUUGUCUAUUACAUAUUUUACAGAGCUAAGCUGGCUACUAACCCUUGUUUUAUAAUACUGCUACUUAAACUAAAUAUAUCGAUUUCAGAAUUAAGUAUAGCAACUUUUAAUUGAACUCCUUGUCAGAUAUUAUUAUUAAUCUUUUAAUUUGUUUUUUAUGUACUUUUAGAAAGUUGAAUAGAAAGAGCCAGAGAUAGAAUUUAAGAUUUAAGAGGUGCCACAUAGUUGCCUAUUCUCUAAGGCAGAGCUGGCAGGCCUGCAGCAGCUCUAACAGUGGCCUUGCUGCCAUUAAUAAUGGGAAAAUGGCAAACACUGUACAAAUCAACUGGCAUGAAUCUCUGUGCCUCUCUACAGCACAGUCUCUCUGAACCUAUUGUGGAGCUAACAUGGCUGCCAGCAAUAAGACAUGAUGACAUUAUCCUGCUUUCUUGCUGGAGGCCUCCCAGUAAGGAGUUCUUGUGAACACAUCUUCCGAGUGACAUGGAGACGGGCCUGCAGCCACCAGCGGAGCUGAGCCGAGCCGCUUUAGAGCCCUGCUGAGACCUGCCAGGCCCACAGCUUUCCCUGCCAGGGGCCUCGCUCGAAGUCAAAGCAGAACUGGAUCGCCACAGCCAGAUCAGGCCAAUCCAAUUGCCGAGCAGGGAUCAAGUCACCAUGCUGGUGCUGCUCCCAGAAAUCAUCAGAAGCCAAACCUCCUGAGGUCUUCCUACCACAUCACAAAGCCUGCUGCCUGGGCACAUGAGUCAUUGUGAUGCUGAAAGACCUGUCCACAACCCGGAAAGGAGGUUCUCUUCCAAGAUUUUAUGGUCCAUUGGCUCAAAGUGUUGAAGUUGUCCUGUACAAUCUCAAAUGGAUCUCCAGAUUGAGGGUCUACGGUUUUGUCCCUGACGUCCUUUGACCACUCUUUGGUCUUGCCCAUGGUGGUGGAGAGGUUGGAAUGGAAGAAACUGAAUCUGAUCCAGAGUCUUUGUUGAUGCAUCAGACAGAUGAACUGACUGCAGUGAAAAGGGAGUAAAAUACCUGCAGGAGGAGCGUCGGAUCUUUUUUUGUUUGUUAUUUUUAUUCUUGUAUUUAAAAGAUCUCAGUCUAGCUCUCAGGGAAGUAAAAGGGAGUCUGAGCUGUAACAGGAGUGUGUGUGUGUGAGAUCACAUCAUGUGUGAGUUUGAGCACACUGUGUGUGUGUGUGCAUGUGUGUGAGAUUAGAGAAGGGCAAAGAGUUGAGGUGGUGUUUGAUGCUAGUCUCAGUGGCAGGCUUCAAAAAAACUAAAACAAAAACCUGUCACUCAGCUUCUCUCCACGCAAUGCAUACACACACAAACACACAUGUGACCACCCGCAUACACUGCACUCACACAAUCUGGCUCUCCAGCACAGCCAUAGACUUCUAGCAGCAACACCUCUGACCAUGUAAAACCUCUCUCCCUGUGCAGGCACACACAUGCAUUAAUACUUGCACACACAUGCAACCUUAUAGGCACACAUAUAGAACAGUUCUAAGCAUACAAAUAACAAAUAAACCGAGUCAAUUCAGUGUACAAUCGGAGUAUCAUAAAGGAUCAAUUCCUGCAGAACACGCACAUGUACUGGAGUACACGUGCACAGACAUACAGACUUACUGUAUGGAUGCUGUACUCUUGUGUGUAAUCCUAAAGUAAAUAGGGUGCUAAGUAAACGCCUAACUCAGCAACUUAUUCUCUUUGUCACGUACACACAUUUAACCAGCACCCAAGCUGGGAGAUCUUGGUCUUUCCUUUACAGUAGGUCAUUUCUUUCAACAGAUUUAUCACCGGUGUUGCACAACCCAUUCGAUUAUCUGUGUCUGUGUGCCCUUCGUGAGAGAGUGACCAACUGAGCUUCUGUGAUAGUGUCUCUGCGGGUGUUUGUGUGUAUCAGAGGGCCGUAGGCUCAAGCUAUUAAGAUCAGUAUAGUGGUGAGAUAUGUGAUCUGAGGGAUGCUACUUCAGAGAAGUGAACAAAGCAGAUGCUGUUCCAGAGAAGAAACUGCACAAGGCCAACAUACGAACCCUGGGGGACCCCUCCACAGUGCUAGCUUUGGAGCAACUAUUGUAUUUGGCCAAAUGUAUUAGCGCCAACAGUUUAAUCUAACACAGUAUAAAGGACUGCCAAGAAAAUCUGAUGUGUUAUUAUUGUCACGUUUAACCAUCUGUCUUGGGGUUUUGGUCCAAAUUUCUUAUUCACAAAGUUGAAUAAUAUCAGGCCCUCCCAACAGGGAUGUUUGUGACAACGCAUUGAUAUUCCUGACAAUAUAUGUAAUAUAUUUACAACAAACAUAUUAUUUGUUGUAAAAUGCCUAAAUAUAGGCAGCUGAGAUAAGCUGAGAUUUCACAGUGAUGAGAACUGAUGAGAAAGGGUCUGCUUUACAUAUGUAUGAAUACAAAUUUUUAAAUAUAUUAAAUAUAUUAAAGGCUGUUACUAUACAUUUUAUUUGUAAUAUAAAUAAUAUAAUAAUUUUGUACAAACAGACGAA